rnacentral:rRNA from 1 species
UACGAAGGGGGCUAGCGUUGCUCGGAAUUACUGGGCGUAAAGCGCACGUAGGCGGCUUUCUAAGUCGGGGGUGAAAUCCUGGAGCUCAACUCCAGAACUGCCUUCGAUACUGGAAAGCUCGAGUCCGGGAGAGGUGAGUGGAAUUGCGAGUGUAGAGGUGAAAUUCGUAGAUAUUCGCAAGAACACCAGUGGCGAAGGCGGCUCACUGGCCCGGAACUGACGCUGAGACGCGAAAGCGUGGGGAGCAAACAGG